UCGAGAAUCUUCGGCAAUGGGCGCAAGCCUGACCGAGCGACGCCGCGUGUGGGAUGAAGGCCUUCGGGUUGUAAACCACUGUCAGAGGGGAGGAAAUGCAUGGGGGUACUCUCCCAUGUUUGACCUAUCCUCAGAGGAAGUCAGGGCUAAGUUCGUGCCAGCAGCCGCGGUAAGACGAACCUGACGAACGUUAUUCGGAAUUACUGGGCUUAAAGGGUGCGUAGGCGGCGCGGAAAGUUGGGUGUGAAAUCCCUUGGCUUAACUGAGGAAUUGCGCCCAAAACUACCGUGCUUGAGGGAGAUAGAGGUGAGCGGAACUUAGGGUGGAGCGGUGAAAUGCGUUGAUAUCCUAAGGAACACCGGUGGCGAAAGCGGCUCACUGGAUCUCUUCUGACGCUGAGGCACGAAAGCUAGGGGAGCGAACGG
rnacentral:rRNA from 1 species